ACGCCUCUAAGUCAGAAUCCAUGCUGGAAUAGACGAUAAUCACCUUUCCCGAUGUGCCGCGAAUAGCGAUAGG